rnacentral:lncRNA from 1 species
AAAAACAUCAGAGAGAAAAAAAGAAACAAAAGCCAGUCUGAAGAAAUGGUUACAUUAUUUUCUACAAUGGCAAUUUCAGAAGUUGUUUUUCUUCAUGCAGAGAUAUGGAUAUGAGAGGCAUUCCUCCACAGAAGAGGCUUAACCACUUUGGCCCUUGAGAUCUUUACUUGAUCAAAACUUCUACAAGCGUGCUGGCAUGCUGGAGUCAGCUAGAAUUGGAUUGCCAGAGCCUGUUGUGUGCACCUGUCCCCAACUCUGUCCAGUGACCUCAGCCUCCUUUCACAGAGACUGAAUUUCAAUCAGCUGCUCUCAGUUGACAAUGAUAAAAUUAUCUCUAUAUGGGCAAAUGCGUGCUCUUUGUCGAAAAAGAAAGCUUCAGCUUCAUGUUCCAGGUGAGUUAAUUAGGCAAUGUAUGAAUGCUAAUAUCUCUUUCACAUAUUUUGCUUAAGAUCUGUCUUAGGACUCUCGUCUGGCCCAUAUGGUUUUCCAAGGGCAGAAGGGCCUCUUUUUGAUGAGAGGCAGUUUUCAGUAACUCUUAAAGUGAUAACAGCAAAGGAGAGGAGAGAGAAGAGUAAGACAAAUCGAAACAUUCUUCAAUUGCUUCUUGGCCUUUUGGCUAAGCUCAAGCUCAAAACAGGUCUUCAAGGAGAAAAUACAUCACAAAGAAAAGGAUGUUUUAUUUCUUACCUUGUCCUAGAAAAAUUUCCAUAAACUCUAUUGGCUUAAUUCUGUAAACUUGACCAAUAUCAGAGUGCUUCCUACCAAGGAGGGUAGCUGAUGAGCGUGACCAUGGUACAUCCUAGAAGAAUGUGUGAUGAAGAAGCUUUCACCGUGUAAAAGAGUUGAAAAUUAUUCAAGGAGACAUUAUGGUCUUGGCCAUAAUUUAAGAACCAGUUUAAAAUAAUUUUUAUAUAGAACUUAGAGUCUAAUUUCUCAGCACAAUUCUUCUUCCCUCCUGAGUGUGGGCUGCUGGAGUGUCAGUUCCAAAUUCUUAUGCAUGAGUAAUCUUAGCAUAUUCAGUAAUAUAUUCCUCUUAUGAGAAAGUAAUCAAGUACAAUAUAACUGAUGACUUUCUUGAUUCAGUAAUCAGUAAUUUGUGAUCAAUUUUACCUGAUGGUGACAGCUUGGUGUAUAAGUUAGUGCUAAUGUAUAUUACUGCAUUUCAUUUCUGUGGAGCCUGUCAGCUGAGCAAAGGAGGGAAACUCAGGAUGGAGAACUCCUCCCCCUCCAUCCAUAAGUGGCACACCACUGGCCUCCUGGUGUUAUUAAAGGAAAAUUGGAAAAGUUUCCAGAAGAUUAAGCAGAAAGCUUACAACUUGCACAAGACUCUCAAUUUUCCAGUGGCUCUGACAGAAGGAUAAAUCUUCGGCUGUUUUAACUAAAAUGGACGGUCAAGUUGGUAUCCAUCGUGAAGCUAAAUGAAUAUCUGGACAGGAGUCAGACAAAGGGAAGGAGAAUCCAGGGGAAGAUGAAGCAGCUGCAGGCCUGUCUGCUACCCUAUAUCCGGGGAAGAGCCAGAAAUUGCUGACCAUAGAGAGUUACAUUGUCCAGCUUUUCCUCCACGAAAUGGAGCAGCAACAAAAGGCCAGAUCAUUCAACCUAUGCUUCCUCAAGUCUGAUAACAUUAGCGUUUCUCUCAGAUAUCAGUUCAAGUAAGGAGUUGCCAAUAGAAGCAAAGAUGCCAGGAAUCAUCGUUUUUAUUUCAGUGUCCUUACGAAGACCUUUGAGCACAAUGGAACGAUGAGGCAACAUUAAAUAUUACUGGAAUGGGGUAUGAAAGCAGCUACUAGAAAAUCCUGCAAGAAAAAUAGAUGGAGAAACUGAGUGCUAAGAGUCUUGCCUUUUAGCUGUCAACAGUUUGAAGAUGAAACAAAUCUGGAACAGCUGAUUUCUAUUGUGGCAGCUAUUACCCAUUUUUGUUAUGCAUCUGUCUCUUCCCAGACUAUAAAUUAUUUAAGGUGUGAGUCGGAGACCUAGGCAUUUCUUAUGGCCAGAACCUUAAGCAAUGUCUGGGAUAUAGCAGAUAUAACAGACUCUCAGCUAUUGCGUGAAUUAAGGAAUGAGCUUGAGAAAUACUUUUAAGUAUUUUCUUCCUGGAAAAGAGACUCCAACUGUCUUUUGUACAGUGCUUGAAACUCAUACCAUUAAUCACUCUUUGAGACUAAAGCUCUGAUAACCUGAGUGAAGAAUUGGUUACAAGGACGUUACAAUGCACCAUGCUACCUUCAGCCAUUUGUGCUUCUGCAUAAAUUGUUUUGACCGAUUAGCCAAUCAGUCACCAACAAGACCCAAAAGGAAUGAGAAUCUAAACAGAUUGUCACCAUUUGGUGGGUUUGAACACCAAGAGGAUAGAGCCUAGAGCAUUGUGGUCUGCUUUAAGACUUCUGAGAGGCAAUAAGGUAAGGUCUGAAAAACCAAGAGUCGGGAUAAACAAGUCAAUUGUGUAUACAUGGAGGUGGGAUGAAUAAAGAGGAGGAGGGGUUGAUGGAAGAAAACUGCACCCAAAAUUAUCGUGUGUCAAAGGCUGGCUGUGGAGCCGAUCUUACAACCUCAAAUAAUGUGAUCAUACUAUCACUCAGCAUAAUUUGUGCCCCCCAGUUUUGUAUGUCUAGGCUGCUUAGGAAAUUGAUGAAUAACAGAAGAUGCCACUUAUCACUGAGAUGAACCAAGUCAUCCCAGAGGGAGUACUAUUUGAAGAUGUGUGGAACAUUCUGUGAAUAUAGAAAAGGAUCCCAUACCAUGAUUCAAUUCAUGACUGUGGCUAGUAGAGAUCCACAUUUCAUGUUUUGCUAUCCAUGGGAUUUAAAUCUGCUGUCACUCUCCUUCCUAUGCAGCUUAGAUUGCUUGACCUAACAUUACAAUUAAACCUUACAUAAAUGCUAAAUCCUUCUGCCCCUCUGUUCUAUAUUGCUUGUAUCUGGGACAAAUCCAAACCUUGGAUAAAACUAUUGCCAGGAAAUAUCAUGUUUUCCUGGAAAAAUAUCACAUAACAGUGUGAUUCCAUUGUGAAUUUAUGAUUGCUAACCUCAUCUGAGUUCCAAUAACAAGACUAACCAAUAAUUCUAGUAUGUUGUUCUGGUCAAUUUCUUUCCAAUAUUUACAAUGGCUAUUUCAAACCUAUUCCAUUUUCAUUAAUCUUCUGGCUCUCCCCAUCUGCCCCUGUCAAUUCUCAGCAGAUGAUCUUAUUCUUCACAGGAGAAAUUGAAGCUGUCAUAUGGGAGCUCUUGUAUCUUUUCAUCUUUCUAGCUACACCCAUUCUUUUAUCUCUAUAACUUGUUUAAAAAGGCGAGUUAUACAUCUUAUUUUAAUACCAAUUCCUUUCUAGAUAUUUAGGAACGAUAUAUUUCUGCUCACCAAUCCCUUCGUUGGUACUUCCACAAGACUCUUUUAUAGGAUCAUCCCAAUUAGCAGUUAACAAACUCUAGUCUCUCAUAAAUAAAAUUAUACUCUCAACUCCACCCCUAUUCCCACUCCCCAGUAUUGCC